UAGGGAAUCUUCCGCAAUGGGCGAAAGCCUGACGGAGCAACGCCGCGUGAGUGAUGAAGGUCUUCGGAUCGUAAAACUCUGUUAUUAGGGAAGAACAAAUGUGUAAGUAACUAUGCACGUCUUGACGGUACCUAAUCAGAAAGCCACGGCUAACUACGUGCCAGCAGCCGCGGUAAUACGUAGGUGGCAAGCGUUAUCCGGAAUUAUUGGGCGUAAAGCGCGCGUAGGCGGUUUUUUAAGUCUGAUGUGAAAGCCCACGGCUCAACCGUGGAGGGUCAUUGGAAACUGGAAAACUUGAGUGCGGAAGAGGAAAGUGGAAUUCCAUGUGUAGCGGUGAAAUGCGCAGAGAUAUGGAGGAACACCAGUGGCGAAGGCGACUUUCUGGGCUGUAACUGACGCUGAUGUGCGAAAGCGUGGGGAUCAAACAGG
rnacentral:rRNA from 1 species